rnacentral:rRNA from 1 species
GACGAACGCUGGCGGCGUGCCUAACACAUGCAAGUCGAGCGAAUGAAGUUCCUUCGGGAACGGAUUUAGCGGCGGACGGGUGAGUAACACGUGGGCAACCUGCCUCAUAGAGGGGAAUAGCCUUCCGAAAGGGAGAUUAAUACCGCAUAAGAUUGUAGUACCGCAUGGUACAGCAAUUAAAGGAGCAAUCCGCCAUGAGAUGGGCCCGCGGCGCAUUAGCUAGUUGGUGAGGUAACGGCUCACCAAGGCGACGAUGCGUAGCCGACCUGAGAGGGUGAUCGGCCACAUUGGGACUGAGACACGGCCCAGACUCCUACGGGAGGCAGCAGUGGGGAAUAUUGCACAAUGGGGGAAACCCUGAUGCAGCAACGCCGCGUGAGUGAUGACGGCCUUCGGUUGUAAAGUACUCUGUCUUCAGGGACGAUAAUGACGGUACCUGAGGAGGAAGGCACGGCUAACUACGUGCCAGCAGCCGCGGUAACGUAGUCUACG